UCCUGGGAGGCUUGGAUUUCUCCACUGGAUCUGGCCGGGAAAAAAAAGGGGCGGGGGUGGGGGGAGAAAAUAUGGAUUAUUUGUGUGGGAAGUUUUUAUAGGCCAGGACUGCAGGUAGCAAACACAUAGAUCUACUCUGCACACGUUACGUUGAUGGGAACUCAGGAACGUGGAUGCUGCUAGAGAGAUUAGGAGAUGACAAAAUCUCUCUGUGUGGCCAAGAGGAAAAGAGACAUGACUCAGAAAAAUUAGGCCAGUCUCUGUCACACUUGUCCAAAAGCCAUUCCCUAUGUUACAUCUUCCAUAUUAAUAGAAUUCCAGUUUUAUACAGAUAGAAGGAAGAUCCUUUGAUUUCAAGAAAGGUGGCUUCCUUUCACCAAAUCAGGAGAUAAAUCACAGUGGACCAAACCAGUCCUGACAGGAACUUCACAGAAGAAAUUCUUUUGCUCCUGCCUCUCUUUUUGCUGAGACAAAGGAACAAAGACACCAGGCCUGGAGCUGCCAUGGCCAUCUUGUGACCAUAAAUGUGAUAGCAAAGAUGGACACAGUCAGCAUGCUGAGGACAGCAAAGGAGACAGAUAGAAAGAACGGGUCUUGAUGACAUAGGUAAGCUUCUGAAUGAACCUGGAACUGCCCACUGCUUCUGGACUUCUUUUUUUAAGUAAAUAAAUGUUCUUGUGUAUCA